rnacentral:sRNA from 1 species
GUCCUGCCCAUCACGAUCAUUCUGACUGCUCAGAUGACACCGUUAACUGCCCUUUUUUUUUUCCUUUUAGCUUGCAUUAGACACACACUACUGGACUUGGAUCAACCAUUUUGUCAUCUGGGGGUCGCUGCUGUUCUACGUUGUCUUUUCGCUUCUCUGGGGAGGAGUGAUCUGGCCGUUCCUCAACUACCAGAGGAUGUACUACGUGUUCAUCCAGAUGCUGUCCAGCGGGCCCGCCUGGCUGGCCAUCGUGCUGCUGGUGACUGUCAGCCUCCUUCCCGAUGUCCUCAAGAAAGUCCUGUGCCGGCAGCUGUGGCCAACAGCAACAGAGAGAGUCCAGACUAAGAGCCAGUGCCUUUCUGUCGAGCAGUCAACCAUCUUUAUGCUUUCUCAGACUUCCAGCAGCCUGAGUUUCUGACGGAACAAGGUGAUGCUCCUCUGCCUUCCACGCACUUGGGAUGGUAGACACGGGGCAGCAGGGCCAUGCCCCUCACCAGAGCCCUGAGUCCACGUGCUCUGACGCGGCGUCCACCAGGCGCUGGGUACAGCAGCCUCACGUCGGGAAGUCCCGCCACCACUUACA